GUGAAUCAUCGAAUCUUUGAACGCACAUUGCGCCCUCUGGUAUUCCGGGGGGCAUGCCUGUUCGAGCGUCAUUACAACCCUCAAGCUCUGCUUGGUAUUGGGCUACACCCGACUGGGUGGGCCUUAAAAUCAGUGGCGGUGCCAUCUGGCUCUAAGCGUAGUAAUUCUUCUCGCUCUGGAGAUCUAGGUGUUUGCUUGCCAGCAACCCCCAAUUUAUCAAAGGUUGACCUCGGAUCAGGUAGGGAUACCCGCUGAACUUAAGCAUAUCAAUAAGCGGAGGA
rnacentral:misc_RNA from 1 species